UACGGGGGGGAGCAAGCGUUGUUCGGAUUUAUUGGGCGUAAAGAGCGUGUAGGCGGCCCGGUAAGUCCGCUGUGAAAGUCGGGGGCUCAACCCUCGAAAGCCGGUGGAUACUGUCGGGCUCGAGUGCGGAAGAGGCGAGUGGAAUUCCAGGUGUAGCGGUGAAAUGCGUAGAUAUCUGGAGGAAUACCGGUGGCGAAGGCGGCAUCCUGGACCGACAUUGACGCUGAUGAGCGAAAGCCAGGGGAGCAAACGGG
rnacentral:rRNA from 1 species